AUUGAACGCUGGCGGCAUGCUUUACACAUGCAAGUCGAACGGCAGCGCGGGCUUCGGCCUGGCGGCGAGUGGCGAACGGGUGAGUAAUACAUCGGAACGUGCCCAGUAGUGGGGGAUAGCUCGACGAAAGCCGGAUUAAUACCGCAUACGACCUGAGGGUGAAAGCGGGGGAUCUUCGGACCUCGCGCUAUUGGAGCGGCCGAUGGCAGAUUAGCUAGUUGGUGGGGUAAAGGCCUACCAAGGCGACGAUCUGUAGCUGGUCUGAGAGGACGACCAGCCACACUGGGACUGAGACACGGCCCAGACUCCUACGGGAGGCAGCAGUGGGGAAUUUUGGACAAUGGGCGAAAGCCUGAUCCAGCAAUGCCGCGUGUGUGAUGAAGGCCUUCGGGUUGUAAAGCACUUUUGGCGGGAACGAAAAGGACUGUGCCAAUACCACGGUUCGAUGACGGUACCCGCAGAAUAAGCACCGGCUAACUACGUG
rnacentral:rRNA from 1 species